rnacentral:rRNA from 1 species
UAGAGUUUGAUCAUGGCUCAGAUUGAACGCUGGCGGCAGGCUUAACACAUGCAAGUCGAACGGUAACAGAACUAGCUUGCUAGUUGCUGACGAGUGGCGGACGGGUGAGUAACGCGUAGGAAUCUACCGAAUAGUGGGGGACAACAGUUGGAAACGGCUGCUAAUACCGCAUACGCCCUACGGGGGAAAGGAGGGGAUCUUCGGACCUUUCGCUAUUUGAUGAGCCUGCGUGAGAUUAGUUAGUUGGUGGGGUAAUGGCUCACCAAGGCGACGAUCUCUAGCUGGUCUGAGAGGAUGAUCAGCCACACUGGGACUGAGACACGGCCCAGACUCCUACGGGAGGCAGCAGUGGGGAAUAUUGCACAAUGGGGGAAACCCUGAUGCAGCCAUGCCGCGUGUGUGAAGAAGGCCUUCGGGUUGUAAAGCACUUUCAGUUGUGAGGAAAGGUUAAGGGUUAAUAACCCUUAGCUGUGACGUA